rnacentral:lncRNA from 1 species
GCGGAUCCGUGGCACUACAUUUUUUACACAAGUUUUGACACAAUUUUUAGGCCAUUAGAUUACUCCACUUUCAAUGGUUGAGAUUAAAUAUUACAUGGCAAGUAGUUUUAAUUUUUUUUAAAUAGACAAUCAUUAAUUUUAUUUUCUCUCUCCAACCUUUUUGCUGGAAGACGUAAUCUCUCUUGCCUCUUUAAUCUCAAAUAUUUAUUAAGGUCUAAUAAAUAAAGAAUCUCACCAAAAACUAAAUGCCCAAACUACAAUCCCACAUUCCCACGCCUCUCUCUCUCUCUCUCUCUCUCUCUCUCUGUGUGUGUGUGUGCAGCGUACAACCUAGGGUGUUGAGGCCAUUUGAAGAAACACUCAUUUUAGACAGCCCAGCAAAGACACCAGCUAGAAGAAAGAAAAAAACAAUUCAUAAACUGUAAUUCCAUAUAUUAAUCCACAGGUAAUCCAUCUUUUUUCUAAAACCAACCCCAAAGAGGGAGGAGGUUGAAGAAAGUGGUGUGGCAUCAAAUUUUCUCUUUGUAUUCUCUCCCUAUUAAUCACAAAAAAAAAAAAAAAACAGUAAUAGUCAAAAUUUUCAUACAUGAGAAGAUUAAAAUCCCUAAAUCAAAUCCUGAAAAUAAGAAAUCCUACCAACAAUUUGAAACAAAUUGAAAUGAAUAGCUUACUCAUAGAUACCUAAGAAAUACACUUAAUCCCCUUGGAAACUAUUAAUUCUUUAAAAUCCUAAUCUAGAGGUCCUAGUUUAAUU